rnacentral:rRNA from 1 species
UACGUAGGGUGCGAGCGUUAAUCGGGAUUACUGGGCGUAAAGCGUGCGCCGGCGGUUAUGUAAGACCGAGGUGAAAUCCCCGGGCUCAACCUGGGAACUGCCUUUGUGACUGCAUGACUAGAGUACGGCAGAGGGGGAUGGAAUUCCGCGUGUAGCAGUGAAAUGCGUAGAUAUGCGGAGGAACACCGAUGGCGAAGGCAAUGCCCUGGGCCUGUACCGACGCUCAUGCACGAAAGCGUGGGGAGCAAACAGG